rnacentral:rRNA from 1 species
AGAGUUUGAUCCUGGCUCAGGAUGAACGCUAGCGGGAGGCUUAACACAUGCAAGUCGAGGGGUAACGAAUUUUAACUUCGGUUAAAAAGGCGACGACCGGCGCACGGGUGCGUAACGCGUAUACAACUUGCCCUUAACAGGAGGAUAGCUCAGGGAAACCUGGAUUAAUACUCCAUAGUCCUGUAGUGCCGCAUGGUAUAUCAGGUAAAACUCCGGUGGUUAAGGAUGGGUAUGCGUGACAUUAGCUAGAUGGUGAGGUAACGGCUCACCAUGGCAACGAUGUCUAGGGGUUCUGAGAGGAUGAUCCCCCACACUGGUACUGAGACACGGACCAGACUCCUACGGGAGGCAGCAGUGAGGAAUAUUGGUCAAUGGGCGCAAGCCUGAACCAGCCAUCCCGCGUGAAGGAAGACGGCUCUACGAGUUGUAAACUUCCUUUCUAAAGGAAGAAAUGUUCAUACGUGUAUGAAUUUGCCUGUACUUUAGGAAUAAGCAUCGGCUAACUCCGUGCCAGCAGCCGCGGUAAUACGGAGGAUGCAAGCGUUAUCCGGAUUUAUUGGGUUUAAAGGGUGCGUAGGCGGGCGUUUAAGUCAGUGGUGAAAUCCUGCAGCUUAACUGUAGAAUUGCCAUUGAAACUGAAUGUCUUGAGUGCGGUUGAGGUAAGCGGAAUGUGUAGUGUAGCGGUGAAAUGCUUAGAGAUUACACAGAACACCGAUUGCGUAGGCAGCUUACUAAGCCGUAACUGACGCUGAGGCACGAAAGCGUGGGUAGCGAACAGGAUUAGAUACCCUGGUAGUCCACGCCGUAAACGAUGAUAACUAGCUGUUUGCGAUACACAGUGAGCGGCAAAGCGAAAGCAUUAAGUUAUCCACCUGGGGAGUACGGUCGCAAGAUUGAAACUCAAAGGAAUUGACGGGGGCCCGCACAAGCGGAGGAACAUGUGGUUUAAUUCGAUGAUACGCGAGGAACCUUACCUGGGCUUAAAUGUAGAGUGCAUAAGUGGGAAACUGCUUUUUCCUUCGGGACUCUUUACAAGGUGCUGCAUGGUUGUCGUCAGCUCGUGCCGUGAGGUGUCGGGUUAAGUCCCAUAACGAGCGCAACCCCUAUCGUAGUUGCCAGCGAGUCAUGUCGGGGACUCUAACGAGACUGCCGGUGUAAACCGAGAGGAAGGUGGGGAUGACGUCAAAUCAGCACGGCCCUUACGUCCAGGGCUACACGUGUUACAAUGGUCGGUACAGAGGGCUGCUACACAGUGAUGUGAUGCUAAUCUCGAAAGCCGAUCUCAGUUCGGAUCGGAGUCUGCAACUCGACUCCGUGAAGGUGGAUUCGCUAGUAAUCGCAUAUCAGCCAUGAUGCGGUGAAUACGUUCCCGGGCCUUGUACACACCGCCCGUCAAGCCAUGGAAGCUGGGGGUACCUGAAGUCUGUCACCGUAAGGAGCGGCCUAGGGUAAAACUAGUAACUGGGGCUAAGUCGUAACAAGGUA